rnacentral:lncRNA from 1 species
AGUAUAAUAGCAAUAUUUUAAGUAUAAUUUCAAAGUUCUUUUAUUCCUUUAAAAGUAAGUACAUUUUGAUACAUAUAAUAAUGAAUUGGCACAAAAUUGAAGUUCUAAAGAACAAGCCAAUUAGGACUCAUUACUGAAUUCCCAAAAUAGAUUUUCUGAGAGAUACUCAAGAAAAUUCAACACAUUAUUCUUCCCCUUUUU